UUCGAGGCGCGGUUCGAGAGGCGCUGCGGAGCUCCGGGGAGUGCAACCGCUGGAGGGGUUUUAGCGUGGAACUGACCCAAGAGCGAAACAACCCCCAGCCCCGGGCUGUGUGGCAUCCUCUGGCAUAAUGAAAAAUAAAGAAAGAGCCUGGACCAAAGGGGUGACUCGUCCAUUUCCGCAGAGUGACAUGUCCGGGCGCUGAUGCCUCUCCUGCCCCUCCGAGACGGGCUGGGACUUGUACGCAGCUUCUCCGAUUACUGGCGGCUUUUUCCCUCGCCUUUUUCUACUAGAUUUCCCAGUUCAUGGUAGAAAGUGAUGGAACUGGUGUCAUCGCAUUCAAUUCAUAACCUGAUGCAAAGCUGCACUUUUGGUGACUGUUUCACAACCUGCAAGAAAACCUGACUCCUCUUGAAACCUGACCCAGCCUGGUUACUCCAGCUAAGGAGGGUGCUGAGUCUCUGGCUGUGCCCUUGGUGCUGCUCUGCAGGAGGAGGAGCUGUGCCUUGCCCGGAGCUUUACACCAGCCUGUGCCUCAGCUGUGCUGGGCUGAGCUCUGGCUGUGCCCAAAACCUUGGCUGCUGGUUUGAGAGGUGCCCUGAAUCACGACUGAUGGACAGAACAGAAGCAAGCAUAAUGAGAGUGUGUGAGACAAAGAUCAUCUAAUAUACCUAUCCUGGCAAACUUAGUCUCCAUAGGAACUGUCUUAGAAAUAAAUAAUUGUGUCUCAGACAGCUUCCUGCCAGGCUUCCCAGGGAGGAGGUCAUUUGUGAGCCAGUGUGGAGCUGUGCUUUAAAGUAACUUUUAGGCUCUUAAAGGCAUCCAACUAUCUUUUGAUGCUUUGCCUUUGGAGAGCUGACUUUUGGUGGACUCAAGGGCUGAAGAAUUGUCACCAGUUUCAAGAGAAAAAUAUGCCUAAAUGCUUUUGCUGGAUGCCCAUCACAGUACUGGGUCCAAGGGUGGUUCUGAAGUGAGAUCAUUAUCCAUAAUUCAGUAAUUUUUGAUAGCCAUCUUCUGUCAGGAAUCAUUUAUGGGAACUUCUGAUUCUCUUCUGGAAGUGACUUGGUUCAAGUGGGUCAAAUUUCUUACCCUGUGCUAUUUUCAGUGUCAUAAUUUAUUAAGGAAUUUACCAAUUUGACAUCCUUUUCACUCCCAGGUCACUUUUAAGUAAGGGACAGUGCUUCGGUUCAGGCUCAAUUAUUUUCAUGUUCUUCAUGAGCAGAUGUUACCUUUGAACUUGGUUUGAUAGGAAGCCAUUGUAAUUUUUAUUUUAGCAGGAGUCUUGCAGAACAGUUAUUAAAAGUGAGCAUGCAGAGUAGGUUGCCACUGGCUGGAGAGUGCUAUAGGUCAGCAGAUGUUGGCAGAAGCAUAAUGUGCAGCACCCAUGUUGCUGUGCCAUAAAUUCUCCUUUUUUUUGCAAACACUCAGCUGCUCAUUUCACGGUGGGGAAAAAACAUCAAGCAAAUAUACACACAGAUUGAUUUUGUGAACACAGUAAACUGUUUUACUGUUGCCACACUAUCUAAACCUUCAGAUUGCACAAAAACUGGUGGCUCAGUAUUACUGUUUAGAGUGAUAUAUGUUUGUAGAGGGUGUUUGAACAAAGACUGACUGAAGUGGAAAAGAAAGAUUAUCAUGGCAAUUGCAGUGCCUGCACACAGUUAGAGAUCUCAAAAUCUGGAGUCCAGCUACUGCUCUUUGAGACUUCUGAAGAAAGCUGUGUGGUGGUUCCCUUAGCCACAGGCUGCAUUUAUUGUUCCUGGAUAUGAGCAAGGGACACCUGCUGAUGGACCGUGAUAAGAGGAGCAGGGCUGGAGGCUCCCUCCCUGCCCACCUCUGAGUCCUCUCCUUUGACUGUUACCAGGGAGACAGACAGAGAUUAACCAGGAGCCACCCAUCAGAGCCCAGUAAGAAACAGGAUUGAAAUUUUCUUCAAAGAAAGCAGGGGGUUGAGAUCAAAUUUGCAGAUGUAGGGAUUUUUGGUUUUAAUCUAAACAUUUGUUGCAAUAUUUGGCUGGAGUCAUUUUUAACUGGAGUCAAUUGCAGAGAUGCAAGGCUCCCAGACAAAGAUCAAAGCUUGUAACCAUGUAAGAAGGCAGGGGAGAGGUGGUCCUUGUUCUGAUGAAAGCUUUGCUGAACUAACAUCCUUAAUCUGCAGUGCAGGAUUUACUUCAUAACAUUUCCUUUGCUUUAUUAAAAAAAUAAUUAGGCCACAUGUGGUAUCUGUGAAACAGCAGAAAGAGAGUCACGGAUGCCUUUGAAAAGGCCUCAUUAAUUUAUCUGCCACAAUGGCUUUAGCAUUGGUUCCAUUUUUAAAGGACAGAAAUACUAUACUUCCUUAUAAAUCUCUAAUGGAAAUUGGUACAGGCUCACUGAUUUGGCAUGCUCAGCGCUGCCCUUUCUACUGUCAGUUGAUUAACUGAGAGGAAAGUUUGUUUUAAUAGUGAAAGAGAAAUUCCAUGCUUUGGGUGACCCAAACUUAGUUUCUGACUCUGCCACAUUUCUUCUGGAAGUUUUAACUCUGCUGCACUGUCCUCCUGCACACACAGAUUGUCCUGGUCAGCAAUGAUGGGGGAAUGCUGUAGUUAAACAUGUUCAAAUAUGAAGUCUUCAGAUGCUACAAGAGUGGGGAGAGGGCUUGUAAGUACCCAGACAGAUCCCAGGAGUAUCACUCAAAGCACAAAGGGUGUUGAAUACUGCACAAAAACUGGGUAAGUAGCAUUUUCUGAGUAGGCCAAGUCAGUCAGGGCCAAAAAAAGGACACAGGAAGAUGAGGUGGCUUAUAACCAGCUAGGAGCCAACACAGGCAUACAAAUCUGAGCUGUGACAUCACCAUGUUCAUGGACCCAUUCAGCUUCUGGAGGUCCUGCCCAGCAAUGUUCUGUCAAUGCAGAGCAGGGCAAUUUGUGUAAAGGGAUUUUAGAGGAAGAACUGAAAUCCAGUACUGGCUUACUAGAGGCACACUCACAAAAUUGCAUUUAGGCCAUGCCCUGGGUGCUGCAUGUCAGGGCCUUGUGGUGAACACCACAGUGGUUAAAUGCUGUGUGAAGCUAUUUGCUUUCAAGGUGGCUGAAAAUAGGAAAGAGAUGCUGGCGCGGUUGUUGUUGAGAAAGUGGAUUUUCGUUUUACAGCCAUAAAAACCAUGGCAGGAUCAAUAGUGUUGGUUUUGCUCCAGAGGUAAGCAAAUUCCAAAUAAUGGCUUUCAGGUGGGAGCAAAAUACAGUCUGUCUGGAUUUAGGGUUUUACACUAUUGAUCAUGUACCAGAUGAGCACCUUCCCCAUCCAGCCAGUAGUAAUAGCCAUUCUUCUCUGUUCUCCCCCAGGUAAAAAAAUUAAAUGUCUUACAGUACUUUUAUUCCUUGGUAUUGGUUUGCUGCUUUGGCUAAUAUAUUUCUUUUUAGUCUUGAGACAGUUUUACUGGAUUUCAAUUUCGUUUUGCUCUGAUUUAAUUUUGUGAAAGAAGGACUAUUUGACAAAUGGAAUAUCAUGUAUUUCAGGCACAGAAAAGCUCCUCUUUUCUUUGAGACUUAAGCAGCUUUUGCAGUCUUUUGACAACUGGGCUGAUGCUGGUUUUCUCUCUAUCAAAUUUCUAUCACUGCUGAGUCCCCUGCCAUGUAUUGUCUGUCAUAAACAGCUCCAAAUGAAAUAAAAAGUGAAGUUAAA